rnacentral:rRNA from 1 species
CCUACGUGAGGCUGCAGUGAGGAAUAUUGGUCAAUGGGCUUACGCCUGAACCAGCCAAGUCGCGUGAGGGAAGACUGCCCUAUGGGUUGUAAACCUCUUUUGUCAGUGAGCAACGCCGGCUACGUGUAGCCGGACUGAGAGUACCUGAAGAAAAAGCAUCGGCUACCUCCGUGCCAGCAGCCGCGGUAAUACGGAGGAUGCGAGCGUUAUCCGGAUUUAUUGGGUUUAAAGGGUGCGUAGGCGGCAUGCCAAGUCAGCGGUAAAAUCGCGGGGCUCAACCUCGCUCCGCCGUUGAAACUGGCGUUCUUGAGUGGGCGAGAAGUAUGCGGAAUGCGUGGUGUAGCGGUGAAAUGCAUAGAUAUCACGCAGAACUCCGAUUGCGAAGGCAGCAUACCGGCGCCCAACUGACGCUGAAGCACGAAAGCGUGGGUAUCGAACAGGAUUAGAUACCCUAGUAGUC